GGGAGGUAGUGAACAUAAAUAACAAUUGCUGAAGUUUAUACUUUUGGUAAUUGGAAUGAAGACAAUUUAACCCCUUAACGAGUAACCAUCAGAGGGCAAGUCUGGUGCCAGCAGCCGCGGUAAUUCCAGCUCUGAUAGCGUAUAUUAAAGUUGUUGCAGUUAAAAAGCUCGUAGUUGGAUUUUAGAGUAUAUUGAUAUGGUCUCUUGUGAUAAACUUGUUGUACUGUAUUAAUUACUCUUUCCUACUGGUUACUCGACUCUGUUCUUUAUUGCAUGGAGUAGUGUCGCAAGGCAUCGCUUAAUAUUUUAUUGCUCUUAGAUGUAGUAAUUGGGUAAAACUGGUUGCGAAACCUAAGGGAUCAUAGUAAAGUAUUAAGUGGGGUUCCAGUUCAUUUACUUUGAGUAAAUUAGAGUGUUCAAAGCAGCCUGUAUGGGCAUUGAAUAGAUUAGCAUGGGAUAAUAGAAUAGGAUUCUUAUCUAUUUAUUGGUUUAUAGAUUUAGAAUAAUGAUUAAUAGGGAUAGUUGGGGGC
rnacentral:rRNA from 1 species